CGGAUUGUAGUCUGCAACUCGACUGCAUGAAGCUGGAAUCGCUAGUAAUCGCGGAUCAGAAUGCCGCGGUGAAUACGUUCCCGGGUCUUGUACACACCGCCCGUCACACCAUGGGAGUCAGUAACGCCCGAAGUCAGUGACCGAACCGAGAGGACGGAGCUGCCGAAGGCGGGACGGAUAACUGGGGUGAAGUCGUAACAAGGUACC
rnacentral:rRNA from 1 species